UACAGAGGGGGCAAGCGUUAAUCGGAAUUACUGGGCGUAAAGCGCGCGUAGGCCGUCGAGUAAGUCGGAUGUGAAAUCCCCGGGCUUAACCUGGGAAUUGCAUUGGAUACUGCUUGACUAGAGUGUGGAAGAGGGAAGCGGAAUUUCCGGUGUAGCGGUGAAAUGCGUAGAUAUCGGAAGGAACACCAGUGGCGAAGGCGGCUUCCUGGUCCAACACUGACGCUGAGGCGCGAAAGCGUGGGGAGCGAACAGG
rnacentral:rRNA from 1 species